AUGCAAGUCGACGGCGUAGGUACUUGGCAUUGCUAAGUACCUACGUAGUGGCGGACGGGUGAGUAACACGUGAGAAUCUGCCUUGAGGACGGGGAUAACAGUAGGAAACCACUGCUAAUACCGGAUAAGCCGAAAGGUGAAAAGAAAUUUGCCUGAAGAGGAGCUCGCGUCUGAUUAGCUAGAUGGUGAGGUAAAAGCUUACCAUGGCGACGAUCAGUAGCUGGUCUGAGAGGAUGAGCAGCCACACUGGGACUGAGACACGGCCCAGACUCCUACGGGAGGCAGCAGUGGGGAAUUUUCCGCAAUGGGCGCAAGCCUGACGGAGCAAUACCGCGUGAGGGAGGAAGGCUCUUGGGUUGUAAACCUCAAAAAUUAGGGAAGAAGAAAGUGACGGUACCUAAUGUAAGCAUCGGCUAACUCCGUGCCAGCAGCCGCGGUAAUACG
rnacentral:rRNA from 1 species